AACAUCCUGCUCUGUGCGUGAUCUUGUUAGUUUUUAACCUACAGAAAACAAAAGGGAGCCUUGGUCUGAUAAAGUAUGUCGGGCCUUGUGGUUUUGAGGAAGACAAAGGAAAUCAGCCAGGCACCCACCUAUGAGGGUGGGUUUUCUAAAAACAAUAAGAGUUAACGGCAAGGUGGGAGUCU
rnacentral:other from 2 species